rnacentral:rRNA from 1 species
GACGAACGCUGGCGGCGUGCUUAACACAUGCGAGUCGAACGGAAAGGCCCUGCUUUUGUGGGGUGCUCGAGUGGCGAACGGGUGAGUAACACGUGAGUAACCUGCCCUUGACUUUGGGAUAACUUCAGGAAACUGGGGCUAAUACCGGAUAGGAGCUCCUGCUGCAUGGUGGGGGUUGGAAAGUUUCGGCGGUUGGGGAUGGACUCGCGGCUUAUCAGCUUGUUGGUGGGGUAGUGGCUUACCAAGGCUUUGACGGGUAGCCGGCCUGAGAGGGUGACCGGCCACAUUGGGACUGAGGUACGGCCCAGACUCCUACGGGAGGCAGCAGUGGGGAAUAUUGCACAAUGGGCGGAAGCCUGAUGCAGCAACGCCGCGUGCGGGAUGACGGCCUUCGGGUUGUAAACCGCUUUCGCCUGUGGCGAAGCGUGAGUGACGGUAAUGGGUAAAGAAGCACCGGCUAACUACGUG